CAACGACUAUAAUUUUGAUGCUUGUGAUGUUACUCUGAGUGUAUAUCCACACCGGCCAAGCUUGGAUAUACACUCAGUGUAACAUCACAAGCAUCAUAUUCACCU